rnacentral:misc_RNA from 1 species
CCUAGAGUUGCGGGCUUUGCCUGCCAUCUCUUACCCAUGUCUUUUGAGUACCUUCGUUUCCUCGGCGGGUUCGCCCGCCGGUUGGACAACACUUAAACCCUUUGUAAUUGAAAUCAGCGUCUGAAAAAACUUUAAUAGUUA